GAUGAACGCUGGCGGCGUGCCUAAUACAUGCAAGUCGAGCGAACAGAUAAGGAGCUUGCUCCUUUGACGUUAGCGGCGGACGGGUGAGUAACACGUGGGUAACCUACCUAUAAGACUGGAAUAACUCCGGGAAACCGGGGCUAAUGCCGGAUAACAUGUUGAACCGCAUGGUUCUACAGUGAAAGGCGGCUUUGCUGUCACUUAUAGAUGGACCCGCGCCGUAUUAGCUAGUUGGUGAGGUAACGGCUCACCAAGGCAACGAUACGUAGCCGACCUGAGAGGGUGAUCGGCCACACUGGAGCUGAGACACGGUCCAGACUCCUACGGGAGGCAGCAGUAGGGAAUCUUCCGCAAUGGGCGAAAGCCUGACGGAGCAACGCCGCGUGAGUGAUGAAGGUCUUCGGAUCGUAAAACUCUGUUAUUAGGGAAGAACAAAUGCGUAAGUAACUGUGCGCGUCUUGACGGUACCUAAUCAGAAAGCCACGGCUAACUACGUG
rnacentral:rRNA from 1 species